GGAGAAUGUGACAGAGGACAAGAAUAGAAUACAGUUAUAGAACUGGAAUUCGCUUUUUCAUGCUAAUUUCCCUGGUAAUGAAGGGCAGUGACUCAGAAAAGGAAAGGCAAGCCUCUGGCGGCAAGGCUGUGUGUAGAUUCAUCUAUACCAAGGGAAGGAUGGUGGGGAGGCAGGGAGGAGACAAAAGAAAAGAAUUUCGAAUCCAAGAUUGGCCAAAUAUGAAGAUGAUCUCAGUCUGGCCACGUCCAGGACCUUCUCUUUCCCUCACCUAUCGCCUGAGCCCAGAAAUAUGUUCCAGAGGACAAGGACUGUGUUGUUCAUCGCAGUAUUCCAGAACUUAAAAGGAACUGGCACAUAAUUGGAGCUUACUAAUAUUCGUCAAAAAAAUGAACAAAUGAGGCAAUGACAGUGGUCUUGUGAAGCUGCUGCUAUUUACAGGGACUCACUCAUUCCGCAAGUAUUUUUUGCACCCCCUACCACACUCCACUCAGUUACAUGCUGGGAAUACCACAGUAAAGGCAGGCUUUUGGACUUGGACCUCAUCCAAGGAGCUGGCUGCCUGCACUUUCACAGACCGUCAGCUUCAUCCCCAGGCCCCAAAUCCUGAAUUUGCCCUAUGUCAAUGAAAAACCAUCAUCAGCUUUUCUUUACAUUAAAAACUGAUUGUGAUCAU